CAUGCAGGCGAACCCUAGCGCGAGGUUGCCAGCCAGGGGAUCCAUCGCGUGGUCGUGAGCAAGGCUGCAAUAACCGAAGCUCGAGGCAAAAGCGUCCGCAAGAGAGGGCUGCAACUCUGCGACUGAUCUGAUUCCUCCACUUCGCUUUCCACCAUAUCGUCCGCCAUGUCGAGCUUCUGCUCCGUCCUUGCAGCAGCAGCGAGGAAGCCGCUGCGCCGGAGCUCCCUCCAGCGGUGAUUCAUGACUCGCGAGGUCCGGCCGUAGACAGCGUGGCCAAUCUUCUUCCAGCAGUCGCCCAGGCGGUAGUGGAGGCGUAGGAGCUCGUCGUCGUCACGGGCAGUGAAGGGGCGGUGGUAGACGUCGCGGGCGAGGUGGUGGCACCACCUGUCACGGCACAACCUUGCAGAGCGGCGUGGCAUGAUCCUGGCGACCCUACUCCAGUGGCGGAAGCCGUUCUCCUUGACGAGGCG
rnacentral:sRNA from 1 species